GCUGUUUUAUCAUUUUUAUGUUGUUCUAUAUAUCACCUUCUCAAUUUUUUUCCUCCAAGAUUGUCUCGGUGGUUUCAACACAAUGAAUUGGCUAAAAUGCAGAAAAACUCUUAUAAAUGUCCGCUUUUCUACUUUACCUCCUGUCUUUUAAAAACUCCUAUUUUGCCCCUUUAAAUUUAGAGGUGUAUCACUUAACUCGGCAAUAUUAUAAUUUCGUCACUAUUCUGUGGAUAAAUUGUAUAGUACAGCUAAGAAACUUACUUACAUACUCAUUAUAUCCUUAAAAAUGGUGGGAAUGCAUAAGCAUCUUAUAUUUUCUUUCAAAUAAGAUAAUUUUUGACAGAGAUCGCUGGAUAUUUACUAAUUUACUUUCCUUUUUUCGUCAUUUCUAAGGAUAAAAUAAGUAUAUAACGAUGUUAAGUGCUGCAACUUAACAUUUUAAGGGGGUAAAAUAUAGAUUUUUAACAGACAUGAGGCUAAGAUGCAAAAGCAGAUAUUUAUAGGGGGUUUUAUGUAUUUUAGCCGAAUGAGUUUUCUUUAUCUUCUCUCGUCGGGACCUUGAGUAGAAUUUGUGGAUUUCCUAAAGCUAAUAUAGCCUGUGCAACUGUCCUCAAAUUUUUUUUUU